GACGAACGCUGGCGGCGUGCUUAACACAUGCAAGUCGAACGGAAAGGCCCUGCUUUUGUGGGGUGCUCGAGUGGCGAACGGGUGAGUAACACGUGAGUAACCUGCCCUUGACUUUGGGAUAACUUCAGGAAACUGGGGCUAAUACCGGAUAGGAGCUCCUGCUGCAUGGUGGGGGUUGGAUAGUUUCGGCGGUUGGGGAUGGACUCGCGGCUUAUCAGCUUGUUGGUGGGGUAGUGGCUUACCAAGGCUUUGACGGGUAGCCGGCCUGAGAGGGUGACCGGCCACAGUGGGACUGAGAUACGGCCCAGACUCCGACGGGAGGCAGCAGUGGGGAAUAUUGCACAAUGGGCGGAAGCCUGAUGCAGCAACGCCGCGUGCGGGAUGACGGCCUUCGGGUUGUAAACCGCUUUCGCCUGUGACGAAGCGUGAGUGACGGUAAUGGGUAAAGAAGCACCGGCUAACUACGUG
rnacentral:rRNA from 1 species